CUGGCAGGGGUAAUUUUACAUCUAUAUAGCCUCUAGGACUAUAUAUGAUGUAGAUUUGCCAGCCAAGGCAGUGGCGGAUCCAGGGGAGGGGCACACAGGCCCGUGCCCCCCCUGUCAUUUCUAGCACUUUUUUUUCUCCCAAAGGUGAGCAGCAGCAACAACACGCUGCUUUCUCCAUCAGUAAUAUUAGAGCCGAGCCGCGGCACUAAACAGCAGAUCUAGAGCUCUCUAUUCAGUGUAAUAACAGGAGGUGACUGAGGGGGAGCUGUUGCGCACAUCCUAGUGCAGCAACGACCUGCUCCCCUGCUACUGUACUGCGGAGCAUCCUGUCUUCUCUGCCCCUACACUACAGUGGCAGUCUGGAGGAGCCUCUCAUAGCCACAGUCGGUGAUGUGUGGAGCAGUGACUGUGGCUGUGGAGAGGAGCCAGGCCCCCAUUACUUGGAACAGUCAUCCGGAAAGGAUUGGUCAUCGACUAGAAGACAAAAGACCCACUGCAUGGCAAGAAGGUUCAUAGAUGACCUGUUUAUCCUGUGCACAGGCACGGAGGAUUUGUUUGUACAUUUGAUGCAUGAAACUAAUUCCAGGAUGUCGACCAUUAAGUUCACAUACAAAGUUGGCCCUUCUUCUGUGAAUUAUUUUGAAUUAUUUGGAUGUUGAGGUCUCCAUUGUGGAUGGCGCCAUCAGGACAGGACAAACAUGGCUUACAUGAGAGUGCUGCCUGACACAGAUAACUCAGGGGAAUUGCAAGGCGGCAAAUGAGAUUCAUUAGUAUGUGGAUGGUCCCGGCACUGAUUCACCACACCCUUUCAUAUUUUCCAUAUACAAUGACUAUUGGUAAACUAGUCUGCACAAUAAGGUCUUGUGGGGUGUUCCUGGUAUGCAGUGGUUAGCACAUGCCAAAGGUGGUCCACUGAAGUGCCUACAAUGGACACGUGCAUUAUAAUUGGACCAUGGAGCAAUGGAAGAAGGUGGCCUGGGUGGCAAUCUUAUCAAGCUUAAAAGUCUCAUAAACCUUGUUAUCUGUUUCCACUUCCACGAAUAAACAAAGCACUUAGGGAGAGAGGAAAAUAACUUUCACCAAAUCUAUUGUUUUCUCUAUUCCUUUGGUCUUUACUGCUGUUGUUAUGUUUUGGAGAUAACAAGCAAACCGACAACAAAAUUCAGAAACUUUCAAUCUUCAUUGAUUCUGGCCACAAAGGUUUGUACAAAUAGAAGGCUGAACACACUGGGACCUGGCGCUCUUCUGCUCAGGGACUGCUGCGGACUGCUCCCUCCUGCAUUACAAUUCAGAAUCAGAAUGUAAUGUAAAUACUUCCCGGAAUGUGCAGGCCAACUUAUUGUGCAGCAGGUUGGGCCAUUGUGCUAGGCUUCCUCUCUUGUGUGGAGAUCAGUUUAGAAGUGGAUUAUCCAUAAAGCACAUGGAGAAAAUAUAAGCUGAUGAACCCACUUAGGUAGCUAAUGUACAAUGUUUGUUACCUUAAAACCAGAAGGAAAACCAUUAAACAUCCACAAACUAAGUCCUGUUGGUGCACUUCUCUUAUUAUUAAAAGACAGCAAACAUGCUGUACAUCGCCUCCCCCGCUGGUGCUUUUAGAUUGAUAAAGAAGAACGUCUGGGAGUAAGUGCUUGAAUGCACGGACAUCUCACCUAAUGUGUCUUUAGAAGCCUAGACACUAUGCUAUUAUGUAGGCAUGUUAUCUCUAUGGCUCUCUCUCUCUCUCUCUUUCUCUCUCUCUCUGUAAUUGCUUUGGAUAGUAUGUGUAGUAUGUAUUGAAACUCUCACUGUAUACAAUAAAUUCAUGCAUGGAAAUAUUAAUGAAUUAAUUUAAAUAUAUAUAUUUAAAUGGUAUCUUCCAUUAGAAUAUAUAUAACUGUUUACUGGUAUAAUGGGACUUACCCACAAGUAUUAAAAGACAUGCUUUUGCUAAGAAUAAUAAUAAUAAUAAUAAUAAUAAUAAUAUAUCUGAACGCUCUGGGGACAAUACAGUGCAGCCUCCAUCAACUCCCACAAGUGCUUGUUGCCACAGGAUGCCAGGCUGUUAGGUGCCGCGGUCCGCGGCGCCGCUCGGUCUGCUUCCGAGCGACGCUUACGGCCGCCGCACCUCCCUCCCUGCCCGCCCAGCGACUAGCAACGCCAGGACGCCGUGCGUACUGUAGCCGCCGGGUCCCUGGCAAUGCUAGGACGCCGGGCGUCCUCAGCCGCUGGGUCCAUAGCAACGGGGACGCCAUUGGCGGACCGCGUUCCCCGUUGCCAGAUAGGAUUGAUUAGUUGCUCGUGCAGCAGGGCAGCUGCACGGCAACUAGUAAUUAGGGUCUGGGGGCUGGUCUUGCUGCCCCUCCUGUCAUUGGCCAGCAGGGUCUUUUUAUGGGAGCCAGCACACUGCAGCCUCGCCGGUGAUAGCUUCCUGUAUGCUGUUCCUGCCUUGCAAUGUCUGUUCCUGGUCAGCUGUAUCUGGUCGAUCCUGCUCCCGGUGCUCCUGAGUUCUGGAGUUCUGAAGCCGGUCCUGGGAAUCCUUCCUGUCCAAGUGAACCUGUUGCGGUCAUCUGGGGUUUCUCGCUUGUUGGGGUUCUCUCCCGGUUUCGUGAGUAGCGGCUUCUGCCGCAUGUUGCGGCCUAGGCCGCUUAGUCCUUGUUUUACUUUUGUAUUGGUGGUUUUUGCGGAGGUUUCCGCUUUUCACUGUCCUCCUCGGAACUCAGCGGUGCCUUGUGGGGGAGUGGACAGUGGUAUCUUUUGUUGUUCUUUUCCUUUGGUGGCGUGCCGCACAUAUAUUUAGUUUUAGGGUAGUUAGUAGCCCCUAGCUUCUGUUUGCUUUAGUUAGAGGUCCCCUUGUUAUUAUCCUGUCUCGGUUCACGCCUUGUCUCACUCUAAGACCUGGGGGCAUCGGAGUUGGGCAGACCUAAUCCGCCCUUCAAACGCGGCUGCCGUGGGCCCAAGAAACUAUAGUCACUCAGGCGUGAACUGACCACACGGGUAAAACAACGGAGGUAGGGUGCUAGGGGCUAUUCCCGUACCAUCCCUUAUUUCAGCGUCACGUUCUGGUGCUCUGGACUCUCUACACAAACAUCUCUCCAGUUCUGAGCAUCAGGAACGUAACACAGGCGUGGUUGCACUGGAUAUGUGAUCUCAGUGGGGUAGAAGGCAGCAUCCUGGAUAAGGACCUUAUGGCAUGUCAGAUAGUGAAACCCUAGCCACAUGAACAGUCACAUAUUCACCAGUGAUACAGUAUAUACCAGGGGUAUGUAAUAACGAGUCCAUUCAGAAAAUAAAAAAAUGUAAAAAUAAGUUUAUCGUUUUCUACCAUAUUGUUAGACAAAUAAUCAUCAAAUAGUGGCUGCUAUCAAUGUUUGUCACCGCACGCAGAAUGUUUGUUCGUUUGUGUAAAGCACGAGACAGACGCUGCUCCGUGAUGUCGCAGAUCUUUGGGCCCACUACCACUCUUUUCUAGGAAAACUUCACUCACUUCGGGCACAUCAGAGAGCCAGCACCUAUUGCACUCAUCGGGAGAUUGGUGACUCCUGGGAUGUCCUGAUUUUUUUGAUGAUGUUUAUGUUCCACUGAAGGCUGUAUACUGUAAGUCCUGAGGUAACUUGAUGCAGCCAGUUAGACAUAACCUCCGGAUGCUAGAAGAUGUGUCCAGUGCCAUGGGAUUGCAGGCGGGCCCCCAUUGUGUCACCACAUAUGUGGUUGCCAUCAUGUAACUUCAGGUCACAUGAUCGGACCUCGGUUUAGACAAACACUGAUUGUUAUUAUUAGAUAGUUUGUUUCUACUAAAAAUUGUUAAAAAGUAUUAAAUCAUUAUUAAAACCUUAUUUUAAGAGUCUACAUAUAAAUAGAAGUGCUUCAUUUCAAAUGUGUUUUUUUUAACUUUAGGGCAAGGGGGUAGCAUGCCCCCCCCAAACAUGUCAGAGGCGCAGGCGCUGUGGAGAGGGAUCACUUACCACAGGAUCCCCGCGGAGACUCC